CUGAUUCUGGUGAUUAUCGUUCA
rnacentral:siRNA from 1 species